rnacentral:rRNA from 1 species
AUUGACCCGKCUGGAAGCUYCCGGGAAACCAAAGUUUUUGGGUUCCSGGGGAAGUAUGGUUGCAAAGCUGAAACUUAAAGGAAUUGACGGAAGGGCACCACCCAGGAGUGGGACUSCGGCUUAAUUUGACUCAACACGGGAAAACUCACCCGGCCCGGACACUGAAAGGAUAGACAGAUUAAGAGCUCUUUCUUGAUUUCAGUGGGUGGUGGUGCAUGGUCGUUCUUAGUUGGUGGAGUAGUUUGUCUGGUUAAUUCCGAUAACGAACGAGAUUUUAACCUAUUAAAUAGAAUUUAAUCUCUUAAUUSCGAUWAAAUWWCUUCUWAGAGGAACAGGCGMCGUCCCCCCCGKWAWUUCAAAGAGCAAUAACAGGUCUGUGAUGCCCUUAGAUGUCCGGGGCUGCACGCKCGCUACAAUGAAGGCGACAGCAUGCAACACAAACCCUCUCUGAGAAGAGCGGGUAACCAUAUGAAAAUUCUUCGUAAUAGGGACCGGGCAUUGUAAUUAUUGCCCAUGAACGAGGAAUUCCCAGUAAGCGUGAGUMAAAAACUUGCGUUGAUUACGUCCCUGCUCUU